rnacentral:rRNA from 1 species
CAUGCAAGUCGAACGAGAAAGUGGAGCAAUCCAUGAGUAAAGUGGCGUACGGGUGAGUAACACGUGGGUAAUCUACCUUCUGGUGGGGGAUAACCCUGGGAAACCGGGGCUAAUACCGCAUAAGCUCGAGAGAGGAAAGGGGAAAUUCGCCGGAAGAGGAGCCCGCGGCUGAUUAGCUAGUUGGUAGGGUAAAGGCCUACCAAGGCAGAGAUCGGUAGCCGGCCUGAGAGGGCACACGGCCACACUGGCACUGAAACACGGGCCAGACUCCUACGGGAGGCAGCAGUGGGGAAUCUUGCACAAUGGGGGCAACCCUGAUGCAGCGACGCCGCGUGAGCGAUGAAGCCCUUCGGGGUGUAAAGCUCUUUCGGCAGGAACGAUAAUGACGGUACCUGAAGAAGAAGCUGCGGCUAACUACGUGCCAGCAGCCGCGGUAAUACGUAGGCAGCGAGCGUUGUUCGGAGUUACUGGGCGUAAAGAGUGCGUAGGCGGUUUUCUAAGUUUGGUGUGAAAUCUCCCGGCUUAACUGGGAGGGUGCGCCGAAAACUGGAAGGCUUGAGUAUGGGAGAGGUAGGCGGAAUUCCUGGUGUAGCGGUGAAAUGCGUAGAUAUCAGGAGGAACACCUGUGGUGUAGACAGCUUACUGGACCAUGACUGACGCUGAGGCACGAAAGCGUGGGGAGCAAACAGGAUUAGAUACCCUGGUAGUCCACGCCCUAAACGAUGCAUACUUGGUGUGAGCCAUUCAGUUGGUUCGUGCCGGAGCUAACGCGUUAAGUAUGCCGCCUGGGGAGUACG